UUUAUCACCGAGUGCUUGCACUCACCGAUAAAGAGUUGCGUGGCGAACGGGUGAGUAACACGUGGGCAACCUGCCCAAAAGAGGGGGAUAACACUUGGAAACAGGUGCUAAUACCGCAUAACCAUAGUUACCGCAUGGUAACUAUGUAAAAGGUGGCUAUGCUACCGCUUUUGGAUGGGCCCGCGGCGCAUUAGCUAGUUGGCGGGGUAAAGGCUUACCAAGGCAAUGAUGCGUAGCCGAACUGAGAGGUUAAUCGGCCACAUUGGGACUGAGACACGGCCCAAACUCCUACGGGAGGCAGCAGUAGGGAAUCUUCCACAAUGGGCGAAAGCCUGAUGGAGCAACGCCGCGUGGGUGAAGAAGGUCUUCGGAUCGUAAAACCCUGUUGUUAGAGAAGAAAGUGCGUGAGAGUAACUGUUCACGUUUCGACGGUAUCUAACCAGAAAGCCACGGCUAACUACGUGCCAGCAGCCGCGGUAAUACGUAGGUGGCAAGCGUUAUCCGGAUUUAUUGGGCGUAAAGGGAACGCAGGCGGUCUUUUAAGUCUGAUGUGAAAGCCUUCGGCUUAACCGGAGUAGUGCAUUGGAAACUGGGAGACUUGAGUGCAGAAGAGGAGAGUGGAACUCCAUGUGUAGCGGUGAAAUGCGUAGAUAUAUGGAAGAACACCAGUGGCGAAAGCGGCUCUCUGGUCUGUAACUGACGCUGAGGUUCGAAAGCGUGGGUAGCAAACAGGAU
rnacentral:rRNA from 1 species